CCCUUAGAUGUUCUGGGCCGCACGCGCGCUACACUGACGGAGGCAGCGAGCAUGUCCUUCGCCGAGAGGUGUGGGGAAUCUUGUGAGUCUCCGUCGUGCUGGGGAUAGAUGGUUGCAAUUGUCGGUCUUCAACGAGGAAUUCCUAGUAAACGCAAGUCAUCAACUUGCAUUGAUUACGUCCCUGCCCUUUGUACACACCGCCCGUCGCACCUACCGAUUGAAUGGUCCGGUGAAGCCUCCGGAUUGGCGCGCACCUCGGUGCCGCCGAGAAGUUGGCUAAACCUUACCAUUUAGAGGAAGGUGAAGUCGUAACA
rnacentral:rRNA from 1 species